rnacentral:lncRNA from 1 species
UGGAUUUUUGCUUCUUCCUUGAUCAGAACUGCAGCGAGGGCCACAGGGGAAACCGCCAGGUAUAGGAACAAUUCCUCUCCAGGCUCGGGCUUUGCCAAUAAUGGUGAUGAGCUGAGGUAGUUCUUCAGCUCUUCGAACGUCUGCUAACAUCCAAUGGUCCAACAGAAGUUCUUGGGCUGCUUGAGGGUCCGAAAGAAAGGUAGGCAUCGCUCGGCCGAUCUCGAGAUGAAGCGAUUUAGAGCCGCUACUUUCCCGGUGAGGCGCUGAACCUCCUUUAUUGACCUCGGGGCGGUCA